rnacentral:lncRNA from 1 species
AACUCAAACGUAUUAAUUGCCAAAAUCUGUACACGUAAAUUGUAUAUUUAAGUUUUCUUUUUUCACCACUAGUGUCGAUAAUGUUCAUUUUGUACUGCUUUGAAUAUAGUAACGUACCGAUGCGUGAAGUGAGCGAAUAAUUCUUAAUCUCCAUGACAAAAUAGUAAUAACAAAAAUAAAAUAUUAAAAAUCCAAUUAAUAAAAAUUUAGAAAAAUAAAAAUGGGCAGGGUAUGCGCAGUAAAAAAUUGUAAUCGUGAGAGUGCAGCUGAUCUCAAACGAACGAAAGAAUUGAAUUUAAAAAAACCUACGUUUUUUAAAGUAUCAAAAAGUCCAAGAAAACGUAAAGAAUGGAUGGAUUCUUUAGCAACUUAUUUAACUGAGCGUCAAUACGUUUAUAUAAUACCUCAUUUAACUUACACCACUUUCAAAAUAAACAAUUCAUAUAUUACUGAAUAUGUUCUCCUCUUGUUUACUGAAGUAAUUCAGAUUUGUAAAUAAGUAACUCAUAUAAAAAAAUAAAACAUUAUGGUAAAUA